AAAUUGAAGAGUUUGAUCAUGGCUCAGAUUGAACGCUGGCGGCAGGCCUAACACAUGCAAGUCGAACGGUAGCACAGAGAGCUUGCUCUCGGGUGACGAGUGGCGGACGGGUGAGUAAUGUCUGGGAAACUGCCUGAUGGAGGGGGAUAACUACUGGAAACGGUGGCUAAUACCGCAUAACGUCGCAAGACCAAAGAGGGGGACCUUCGGGCCUCUUGCCAUCAGAUGUGCCCAGAUGGGAUUAGCUAGUUGGUGAGGUAACGGCUCACCAAGGCGACGAUCCCUAGCUGGUCUGAGAGGAUGACCAGCCACACUGGAACUGAGACACGGUCCAGACUCCUACGGGAGGCAGCAGUGGGGAAUAUUGCACAAUGGGCGCAAGCCUGAUGCAGCCAUGCCGCGUGUAUGAAGAAGGCCUUCGGGUUGUAAAGUACUUUCAGCGGGGAGGAAGGUGUUGUGGUUAAUAACCGCAGCAAUUGACGUUACCCGCAGAAGAAGCACCGGCUAACUCCGUGCCAGCAGCCGCGGUAAUACGGAGGGUGCAAGCGUUAAUCGGAAUUACUGGGCGUAAAGCGCACGCAGGCGGUCUGUCAAGUCGGAUGUGAAAUCCCCGG
rnacentral:rRNA from 1 species